UACGUAGGGGGCAAGCGUUGUCCGGAUUUAUUGGGCGUAAAGCGCUCGCAGGUGGUUCAUUGCGUCGUGCGUGAAAGACCCCGGCUCAACUGGGGAGGGUCGUGCGAAACGGGUGAACUAGAGGCCAGUAGGGGGAUGUGGAAUUCCGGGUGUAGUGGUGGAAUGCGUAGAGAUCCGGAGGAGCACCAGCGGCGAAGGCGGCAUCCUGGACUGGUCCUGACACUCAGGAGCGAAAGCGUGGGGAGCGAUCCGG
rnacentral:rRNA from 1 species